rnacentral:lncRNA from 1 species
UAAUUGACUAUAUGUGCAGGCAAUGCGGCUUUUUGUUGGUGAUCCCAUUUGGACUCCGUUCAAUCGCCCACAUGAUCAUCUUCCUGCAAGGUAUAGUCAGCCUUCCCCGACUUAAGAUGCAAAUAAUGUCUUUCCAUCCACCACCCCCACCAAAAAAAAUAAAUAAUAAAAAAAGAGAGAGGAUAGAGGGGAAAAAAAAUAAUAAAAAAAAAUUGGAAAACGAAUACCAGUAGAAAAAGUAUCUGAACUGAUAUCCAAAGCGCGGAACAUACACAAGGAAAUAGAAAAUAAAAUGGAGUUUUGGGUAAUAAAAUGAAUGUUUAUGUGCAGGAAGCAGUAUGUGGACACUUUUGUGCAGAAGGACGCUGCUGGACGUGGAGUUGGGGCUGCAGCUUAAAACCGCCUUUUACAAAAUCUUGGAAACUAUUGUCUUUAAGCAUAAACUUAGCCGUAUGGAGUUGCCGAAUUUGUGUACCUUUGGUUGGACGUAUGGCUUGUGUGUUAUUAAAUAAAAUAAAUGUGUUUUGAAUUGAAUCUGCCAUUUAUCAAAUACAGACUGCUAAAGUGUGCGCAUGGAACUUGUACUUUUAAUCUAGGAACGUGAAUUUAGCUUGUCAUAUGUGUAUCUUCCGUGACAAUGUAUGCAUUAAUUCAGUGGUUUCAUUAUCAUAUCUUUGUAAAAGUUUUUCCUCGUGUGUGUUUGAUGCACUGUAUUGGAUAAGAGGAUUAGAUAAGUAUUAUUGAAAUAAGGAUGAGGCAACGAAGAAUUUCUGUUAGGUUGAGUCCUUGUUGAAGCCCCUUUUCCAAAUACUCAAUUUUUUUUCAA